UACGUAGGGGGCUAGCGUUGUCCGGAAUCAUUGGGCGUAAAGAGCGCGUAGGCGGCCAGAUAAGUCCGGUGUGAAAGUCACAGGCUCAACCUGUGAAUGCCGCUGGAAACUGUCUGGCUAGAGUCCGGGAGGGGCGAGUGGAAUUCCUGGUGUAGCGGUGAAAUGCGCAGAUAUCAGGAGGAACACCAAUGGCGAAGGCAGCUCGCUGGAACGGUACUGACGCUGAGGCGCGAAAGUGUGGGGAGCGAACAGG
rnacentral:rRNA from 1 species